rnacentral:rRNA from 1 species
UACGGAGGAUGCGAGCGUUAUCCGGGAUUUAUUGGGUUUAAAGGGAGCGUAGGCGGGAGGUCAAGUCAGCUGUGAAAUGUAUCUGCUUAACGGGUACACUGCAGUUGAAACUGGUUUUCUUGAGUGCGUAAGAGGCAGGCGGAAUUCGUUGUGUAGCGGUGAAAUGCUUAGAUAUGUCGAGGAACUCCUAUUGCGAAGGCAGCUUGCUGGGUCGUUACUGACGCUGAUGCUCGAAGGUGCGGGGAGUCAACAGGAUUAGA